rnacentral:rRNA from 1 species
CCUACGGGUGGCUGCAGUGGGGAAUAUUGCACAAUGGGGGAAACCCUGAUGCAGCGACGCCGCGUGAGCGAAGAAGGAUUUCGGUUCGUAAACUUCUAUCAGCAAGGAAGAAAGCGCUUCUAAGGAAGUGAGACAGUACUUGAGUAAGCAGCCCCGGCUAACUACGUGCCAGCAGCCGCGGUAAUACGUAGGGGGCGAGCGUUAUCCGGAAUUACUGGGUGUAAAGGGUGCGUAGGCGGCACCGUAAGUCUGUUGUGAAAGGCGAUGGCUUAACCAUCGAAGUGCAAUGGAAACUGCGGAGCUAGAGUGCAGGAGAGGAAAGCGGAAUUCCUAGUGUAGCGGUGAAAUGCGUAGAUAUUAGGAAGAACACCAGUGGCGAAGGCGGCUUUCUGGACUGCAACUGACGCUGGGGCACGAAAGCGUGGGGAGCAAACAGGAUUAAUACCCGGGUAGUC